rnacentral:rRNA from 1 species
GACGGAAGGUGCAAGCGUUGCUCGGAAUCACUGGGCGUAAAGGGUGCGUAGGCGGCCGUGCAAGUCUGGCGUGAAAGCCCCGGGCUCAGCCCGGGAAGUGCGCUCGAAACUGCGCGGCUCGAGUGCCGGAGGGGAGAGUGGAAUUCCUGGUGUAGCGGUGAAAUGCGUAGAUAUUGGGAAGAACACCUGAGGCGAAGGCGGGUUGCUGGGCUGAUACUGACGCUGAGGCGCGAAAGCCAGGGGAGCAAACGGG